UACGGAGGGGGCUAGCGUUGUUCGGAAUUACUGGGCGUAAAGCGCACGUAGGCGGCUUUGUAAGUUAGAGGUGAAAGCCCAGGGCUCAACCCUGGAAUUGCCUUCAAUACUGGCGACCUUGAGUAUGGCAGAGGUGUGUGGAACUCCGAGUGUAGAGGUGAAAUUCGUAGAUAUUCGGAAGAACACCAGUGGCGAAGGCGACACACUGGGCCAUUACUGACGCUGAGGCGCGAAAGCUAGGGGAGCAAACGGG
rnacentral:rRNA from 1 species